CAGAGACAAGAGAGAGAAAGAAGGCCAUUCGGUAAGCUUAGCACAAAGACAAAGGCUAUUUAUUUGCAUAGUUUGCACAUCUUUCUAGGAGAACUGUGGGAAAUCGGCUAUCAAGGCUCCUUUGUGAGAGGCAUUUUAUUUUUAAAAUAUUGUUAAUAAUCCGAAGAAGCUGUACAUUAACAUAUUUUUUUAAUUGACUUAGAUCAGUUGGGGAGGAUGCAGUGGCGGAUCCAGAGCCUGAUCUCGGGAGGGGCACUUGUAGAUUAUUUAAAUAAAUAAUCCUGGCACUAUAACCACUACAACUCAAUGUAGUAGUUAUGGUGCCAGUAGUGUCAGAAUACCACCCCAGAGUAAGUAGUCAUAACGUUUAAGAACAGUUUGACAACUUACCUCAGGUCUGCUGGGAUAUAGGGCAUAGAAGCAGUGGUGUGUGUUAGGGGUGAAGUGUGUGUGAAAGGUGAAAGGUGUGUAUGUGAGUGUGUGAGGGCAGCAGUGUAUGUCAGGGUUGCAGUGUGUGUUAGGGGGCAGUGUAUGUGUGGGGCAGUGUGUAUGUGUG